rnacentral:rRNA from 1 species
GAUGAACGCUAGCGGCAGGCUUAACACAUGCAAGUCGAGGGGUAUAGUAGCAAUACUAGAGACCGGCGCACGGGUGCGUAACGCGUAUGCAAUCUACCUUUUACAGAGGGAUAGCCCAGAGAAAUUUGAAUUAAUACCUCAUAGUAUAAUUGAAUGGCAUCAUUUAAUUAUUAAAGUCACAACGGUAAAGAUGAGCAUGCGUCCCAUUAGCUUGUUGGAAGGUAACGGCUUACCAAGGCUACGAUGGGUAGGGGUCC